GACGAACGCUGGCGGCGUGCUUAACACAUGCAAGUCGAACGAUGAACCCGGAGCUUUCUCCGGUGGAUUAGUGGCGAACGGGUGAGUAACACGUGAGUAACCUGCCCUUGACUCUGGGAUAACUGCGGGAAACUGUAGCUAAUACCGGAUACGACCCUCGGCGGCAUCGCCAGGGGGUGGAAAGAAUGUCGGUCAAGGAUGGACUCGCGGCCUACCAGCUAGUUGGUGAGGUAACGGCUCACCAAGGCGACGACGGGUAGCCGGCCUGAGAGGGUGACCGGCCACACUGGGACUGAGACACGGCCCAGACUCCUACGGGAGGCAGCAGUGGGGAAUAUUGCACAAUGGGCGCAAGCCUGAUGCAGCAACGCCGCGUGAGGGAUGACGGCCUUCGGGUUGUAAACCUCUUUUAGUAGGGAAGAAGCGAAAGUGACGGUACCUGCAGAAAAAGCACCGGCCAACUACGUGCCAGCCGCCGCCGUAA
rnacentral:rRNA from 1 species